rnacentral:rRNA from 1 species
CCCUUAGAUGUUCUGGGCCGCGCGCGCUACACUGAAGGGAUCAGCGUGUUUUCCCUUUCCGAGAGGAACGGGUAACCCGCUGAACCCCCUUCGUGGUAGGGAUCGGAGCUUGCAAUUGUUCUCCGUGAACCAGGAAUUCCCAGUAAGCGCAAGUCAUAAGCUUGCGUUGAUUACGUCCCUGCCCUUUGUACACACCGCCCGUCGCUACUACCGAUUGAACGUUUUAGUGAGGUAUUUGGACUGGGCCUUGGGAGGUUUCGGCCUCCCUUGUUGCUCGGAAAGACUCCCAAACUUGAGCGUUUAGAGGAAGUAAAAGUCGUAACA